CCGGGCUGUGGCUUACAUUGCCUGGGGUGCCUGCGGCCAACCCGCUGUCCUCCACAGUUUGGGGAAGGGCCUGGUGGGGGGGUUGCUGAAUCCUUCCAUGGGAUUCCUUCCUGCGGCAGGUGUGAAGAGACCUUUUGUGCCCGUUCCAUUUCCCGUCUCUGCUCUGCAGCCCGACUCAGCCUUCUCAAGUACCUCUCUGGGCCCUUCCUUUCCUGGUCAAAGUCCUCAGCUGCUUGCCUUGAUCCCCAGGUAGAUGCCUGCCUCCUGAGCGUGGGUGGUGCCCCAGCCUUCCCGGUCUGGUCCUGCCCCCUCUCCAGCCGCCUUCAGCCCUCCCCGAGGAAUGCACUGGGGGCCGUCGCAGGGGCUGGGGCAGAGCAGGGGGCAUGAGACCUGUCCCUCACCAGCUCCCAUGCUGCGGGAUCCAAGUGCCUGCUCCCAGGCCUCUGCACACACACCACACUGUUCCCUCUGCUUUGCCUGCUGUGCCCUCUGGGCUUCUUUCCCCUGGGAAAAAGCCUCUUUACAUUUCAAGGCUGGUCCCUCAUUUCCAGCAGAAAACUGUUUUCCUGGACUGUCUUUUUCUUGGCUUACGGAUUUGUGACUGCACUUUCCCAAGAAGUGUUGAAGCUCGGCUCACAUUUUUGUGUGGAGAACCAGCUAACCCCUUCCUCAAAGUUUUUGUGAGGAAAAGUAAUUUAAAUGUUUGAAAAAGAGUUGUAACCUGGUAAAGUGCCUCCGAAGGCUGCUGAGUGCCUCAGAGAGCAGGUACCGCGUGCUUGCUGCGUGUGGGUGUUCGGGCCAGGUACUUUGGGGUUAUGUGUGUCAACGUGACCUGGUCCCUACCUGCCAUCACCUGGGGGGGGGGCUGUGAACAAUUCCUGUCAGUGUUGAUAGGAGACAGUGAGACUGUGCCAUCAACGGUAGUCUCCGUGACCCUGGACCCUCAGAACAAGCCUGCGAAGUAGGUACUAUCAUAUUACCUUCUAUGAGUAUCCCCAUUUAACAGAUGAGAAACUGAGGCCCAGAGGGAUGAAGUAGCUUGUCCAGGAUCAAAUACAUAGCAAAUACUGGAACUGGGAUUUGCAGCUGGCAAUUGAGAAGGAGGCUGGAAUCCAGAGAAGAGGGUUCUGGAGUUCAGAGGGGAGUCCAGCUUCCCACGGGGGGUGGGGGGGGAGGAAGGUGACCUGGGGUGGGUGCAGGCCAGAGCGGGGAACGUGUUUCCUAGGCAGCCUGCAGGGAAGACUGAAAAUGCCCCAUGUUUGGGGGUGGGGGAGACGCUGAUGAGAGUCUGGGGAGCACAGGAGGGGCACAGGGAGAGGUGGAGCUGUGGCACUCAACUGGGGCUCCCGGGGACUUUUUUUUUGGCCACCCGCAGCAUAUGGAGUUCUGGGCCAGGGAUUAGAUCCCAGUUGCAGGUGCCACCUAGCCUGCAGCUGUGGCAAUGCCAGCUCCUUAAUCCACCGUGCCGGGCUGGGGUUCAAAUCUGCGUCCCAGUGCUCCUAAGACACUGCCGAUCCCAUUGCACCGCAGGGUUUGACUUUUAAUGCAGGGGUGACAGAUGGCUGGUCUGUCCACAUGCUGUCACAUGGGCAGCUCCUACGGGUCACCAGCACCCUUCCUCCGUUUCUUCAAGGGACAAAGCGACUUUGCUCUAGAGCAGAACACUGAUCGUCCCACACAUAUGUCCCUACUUUUGUUGCUGUCGCUGUGAGGUUUUUAAACUGGAGACCAUUUCACUUUCACACACCAACCACAAUGUCGAAUAAAUUGGUUGAACUUGUAGAUUUAUAUCCGCA
rnacentral:lncRNA from 1 species